rnacentral:rRNA from 1 species
CGGGGGGGGGGCAAGCGUUGUUCGGGAAUUACUGGGGCGUAAAGGGGCGCGCAGGCGGCCUGGCCAGUCCUACGUGAAAUCCCACAGCUCAACUGUGGAACUGCGUGGGAUACUGCCAGGCUUGAGUCCCGGGAGAGGAGAGUGGAAUUCCCAGUGUAGCGGUGAAAUGCGUAGAUAUUGGGAGGAACACCGGUGGCGAAGGCGGCUCUCUGGACCGGCACUGACGCUGAGGCGCGAAAGCUAGGGGAGCAAACGGGAUUAGAUACCCCGGUAGUCCUAGCCCUAAACGAUGAGCACUUUGUGUGGCGGGUAUCGACCCCUGCCGUGCAGAAGCUAACGCAUUAAGUGCUCCGCCUGGGGAGUACGGUCGCAAAGGCUG